rnacentral:rRNA from 1 species
UACGAAGGGUGCAAGCGUUACUCGGAAUUACUGGGCGUAAAGCGUGCGUAGGUGGUUCGUUAAGUCUGAUGUGAAAGCCCUGGGCUCAACCUGGGAAUGGCAUUGGAAACUGGCGACCUAGAGUGCGGUAGAGGGUAGUGGAAUUCCCGGUGUAGCAGUGAAAUGCGUAGAGAUCGGGAGGAACAUCUGUGGCGAAGGCGACUGCUUGGACCAGCACUGACACUGAGGCACGAAAGCGUGGGGAGCAAACAGG